AGACAAUGCCAGAGUCAUUGGGAUGACCUUGGCCUUAUGCUCUAACCACUAUUAGAGAUACUCAGGCAGUCCUGAGGUUGGAAAAGCCAAGGGGUGGCCAGAGUAUCUUUGAUCCCUGCAUUGCUGCUGGUGACUCAGCUGUGACUUCUGGUUCGGGACCAACUUCUCUUGAAGAUGUAUGGGUCUGAAGCUGACAUUCGCAGGGCUGUUUGGUGGAAGCAGCUGUUGCCUGGAGGGGAGUAAGACUAGCUUCUCAGAGGUUGGGCUGCCUCUCCAUCUGUCUGGGUGAAAAGAGGAGGAAGCAGAAGUACAAGCAAGACGGAGAAGCUAUGAAAAAUGGGCCCUGCACAAAGACCACUGGAAGGAGAGAAGACAGCACAACUUUAAUGCCUUCACGGGAGAGUUCGUGCUCUUAACGUUUUUGGUACUAAGGAUUAAAGUCAUGUCUACCACUGCCCUGAAUGGAGAGAAAAUGAAACGGUGAGAAGAUGCAUUCGGAAGGCUGGCCUGGAUUCCUUCCUGCUGACAGGUUCCAUAGGCCCCUGGAAGAUCCCAGAUUCUCAUGUUUGUCUGACUGCAUCCCUUGCACACAGUCACUUUCCUUCGAUUGUCCUUUUGGUGCCCCUAAGUGUCAGGAAAAUUUUCAGUUUGUUUGUGGAGACCCAAGGACAUCUACGGACAUUUGAGCAACUUUGGGUGGAUCUUAGGUGACUGGGUGGAUGUAUUAGUUUCCUAGGCUUCCCAGGUGGCUCAGUGGUGAAGAACCUGACUCCAGGGCAGGAGAUAGGGAUUUGAUGCCUGGUUGGGAGGAUCCCCUGGAGUAGGAAAUGGCAACCCACUCCAGUAUUCUUGCCUGAGAAAUCCCAUGGACAGAGGAGCCUGGUGGGCUACAGUGAAUGGGGUCACAAAGAGUCAGACACAAAUGAGCAUGGAGGCCAUUCCAUGAGUUACUGUUAGGAUUAGAUUAUUAUUAUUAUAUUGUUGUUGUUCAUUCGCUGAGUCGUGUCCAACUCUUUGAGACACCACGGAUUGCAGCACACCAGGCUCCUCUAUUCUCCAUUAUCUCCCGCGGUUUGCUCAAAUUCAUGUCCUUUGAGUCAGUUACACUGUUUAACCAUCUCAUCCUCUGUCAACCCCUUCUCCUUUUGUCUUCAAUCUUUCCCAUCAUCAAGGUCUUUUACUAUGGGUCAACUCUUCACAUCAGGUGGCCAAAGUAUUGGAGCUUCAGCUUCAGCAUCAGUCCUUCCAGUGAAUAUUCA
ensembl:lncRNA